GAUGAACGCUGGCGGCGUGCUUAACACAUGCAAGUCGAACGGAAAGGCCCAAGCUUGCUUGGGUACUCGAGUGGCGAACGGGUGAGUAACACGUGGGUGAUCUGCCCUGCACUUCGGGAUAAGCCUGGGAAACUGGGUCUAAUACCGGAUAGGACCACUUCUUGGAUGUUGUGGUGGAAAGUUUUUUCGGUGUGGGAUGAGCUCGCGGCCUAUCAGCUUGUUGGUGGGGUAAUGGCCUACCAAGGCGUCGACGGGUAGCCGGCCUGAGAGGGUGUACGGCCACAUUGGGCCUGAGAUACGGCCCAGACUCCUACGGGAGGCAGCAGUGGGGAAUAUUGCACAAUGGGCGCAAGCCUGAUGCAGCGACGCCGCGUGGGGGAUGACGGCCUUCGGGUUGUAAACUCCUUUCGCUAGGGACGAAGCGUUUUGUGACGGUACCUGGAGAAGAAGCACCGGCUAACUACGUG
rnacentral:rRNA from 1 species